AUAUUAUUAGUUAGAAACAUGUGUAAGUAUCAUUACCACGAGCCAAGUGCAGAAAGCCAAGGAGAUGAAAUAUUUCAAAUCCAUGGAAAAGAAAGAAACUUUACAAUUUCCCUGCGGAAAGACGCGGCUCAAAAUUGAGGCUUUCGGCUGAUUUCUCAUCGAAGACUCUGAAGAUUUUCUUGGAAAACCUAAGCUGUGGGCAUCGCGUUCUUGGAGAUAGACCACCAACGACCUCGAUUUGGCAGCAGUAGUCUAAUUUUUGCUUCAUAUAAGCGGGAUUGGGGGUUGGAAAAACUAGGGUUAGGGUUAGGUUCAGGGUUAACGGCUUGCUAUAUCUAGUGUAUUGGAAGAGAAGGAGAAGAGAGACACAUUAUUGGGGAGGAUGAGACAUGGGAGAAAUUUUGGGUUUUUGAUGCCAAGAAACAUGGAUUUUGAUGAGAUUUGUUGUAGACUUUUUUUAUCGCCGGAGCAAAAGGUCUUUUGAUGCCAAGAAACAUGAAUUUUGAUGAAAUGGAGUUUUCAGGGAGACCGUUACAUGUUUGUGGUAGAUGUUAUGGUAUCAUGCACGAAUACUAUAUUUAAAAAACCUUA